GGAAGCGGCCCUCAGCCCUUGGCCCAGCUGUUCUAGGCCUGCUUUCAGGGAUCCAGGAAGAAAGUGACCAACCCAUGCAAACUUAGGGCAAAACUAACCAUAUUUAACAGUAGGCCAAAAUGCGAAUUUGAAACUCAUUCCGAAUGCCUUUCCAGGGAGGUGGCCACAGCUGAUGAAAGACCUCACGCUUGUUCCAACAGGCCCUGGGAGCUGAAUUGUAUCCCUGAAACUGGCCUAGCUUCCUUCAGCUCAACAGAGCAGCUGAAAGACUUUUGAGUUUGCCACAUCUGCGUCACAACUUAAUUCUUGAAAAGGCCGUAUAAAAUGCUGCUUCCUCAGGAUGCCUGCUCUUUAUCAGCAUCCCUGUCUCCAUGGUGAUAGCCUUCUUGCCGUAAUCAGAGGGAUGACCUACUUAACCAUGGAAAUAUUGGCUUCAUUCGAGUUAACUUUGCUGUAAGAUGUUUCAUCCCUGAGUCACGAGAAGGG
rnacentral:lncRNA from 1 species